UGACUCACCAUCUUUCCAAUGUCUAUAUGGU
rnacentral:piRNA from 1 species